AGGAACCGGACUUCUAAAAUUAUGAAGUUACGGUGUACAUUUGGUUUGAAAGCCAUUUGAAUUGUUCCGGUGAGGUUGCGGUGAAAUGUAAUAUACCGGAUUUUUAAAUAUAAAAAUAAAAAUAAAUAAAAAUAGUAUGAGAUACUAUUUUUAUUGGAUUUGGAGAAGUGAAAUAUGAGUUAGAAACGACCUGUGCUGAAAUCGGAGUGAAAAUAGAAGAUUUAGAAUUUUCUGUGAGAAACGGGGUAGAUAAAUUAGCAGAAAAUGCACAGUGUCAGAAAAUUAUGAAAACUGGAGGGUAAGUCAGAAUUAUUUUUAUGAGGUUAGAUUUAAAGUUUCAUGUCAUUCUAACACCCGGAAGGUAGAAAAUAAAAUAUGAUAGUGAUCUGAUAAAGAUUACAGUUCGGUACGGUUUUCGGUGACCAAACGGGGUCGAAACUGAAAGAUUAAAAUUUUUUUGGACUUAUUAAGUAAAACCGAGCCUGCCUGUCAAAUUUGAGCGCAAACGGACGUUCAGAAGGGCUCCGGCGAAAAAUGUCAGUUUUAAACUACUGAAGUGAAUAGUGUUUUGGGGGAGUUUACUUGGAGGUGAAGUUU
rnacentral:lncRNA from 1 species